UACAGAGACUGCAAGCGUUGUUCGGAUUUACUGGGCGUAAAGCGCACGUAGGCGGAUCGAUCAGUCAGGGGUGAAAUCCCAGAGCUCAACUCUGGAACUGCCUUUGAUACUGUCGAUCUGGAGUAUGGAAGAGGUGAGUGGAAUUCCGAGUGUAGAGGUGAAAUUCGUAGAUAUUCGGAGGAACACCAGUGGCGAAGGCGGCUCACUGGUCCAUUACUGACGCUGAGGAGCGAAAGUGUGGGGAGCGAACAGG
rnacentral:rRNA from 1 species